GCUUGGGGGUUUUGUAAGGCAUGAUCCUACUGAAAACCGUGUCUGAGAUAGCUGAGUGAAUGCAAGCAAGUGUACGAGGUUUCUUUUCUCUCUCUUUCUGGUCAACCAUGGUGGAGCCCUUCAUCUAUUUUGCUCAAAGCUUCCUUUCUCAAUCUCUUCUGAUGACGUGGAAAUGAGUUCUAGGUCAUCAAUUUGUGAAAAAUCAACGCCACGUGGGCCGGACACGUAGCCUUGACUUAACAAUGCUUCUGACGGUGUUAAGAAACAAUUUGAAAAUACAAGGACCAUUCAGAGAGAAGAAAAAAAGUAUAAGGGCUUAAAGAAAAGUUUGAGUAGUAAAGGAAUUAUUUACUAUUUAAACCAUUCCUUAAUCACGUACGUAGCUUUAAUCACAAACUCUACUUUUAGUUUUAGCAGCUUCGUUCUCUUGCUUCUGGUACCACCUUCAAAUUCUUCUUUGAUUUUGUCCCAAGCCAGCUUGGGGGUUUUGUAAGGCAUGAUCCUACUGAAAACCGUGUCUGAGAUAACUGAGUGAAUGCAAGCAAGUGUACGAGGUUUCUUUUCUCUCUCUUUCUGGUCAACCAUGGUGGAGCCCUUCAUUUAUUUUGCUCAAAGCUUCCUUCCUCAAUCUCUUCUGAUGAUGUGAAAAUGAGUUCUAGGUCAUCAAUUUGUGAAAAAUCAACGCCACGUGGGCCGAACACGUAGCCUUGACUUAACAAUGCUUCUGACGGUGUUAAGAAACAAUUUGAAAAU
rnacentral:lncRNA from 1 species